UCAUUACAAAGUAGAAUACAUAAAGCAUUCACUACACUACAGAUUCAUUGAAUCUGGACGCAAUUCGGGUAUUACCCGACGAAGCAUCUGAUUUCAUUUCCAUCGCCUUCCUCUCUCUCCACUCUAGGGUUUUGACUGACUGUUCGAUCGCCAGCGCCAUUAGCCGUGCGGUUCCAAAAGGCAAAAGAAAACCAAAAAGGUAACGUCAUUGCUGGAUUUGAUCUACCAUCAAUUUUGGAUAUUGGCGCAUUUUGUCCAACAGUAUUAGAAUAUUUGUAACACUGUUUUGCCCUGCCUUCCUUUGUGUUAUCCGUUGCUAGCGGAGUGGAGAGUGGGGCAUAUCUUCUGCAGCACUAUCGAUGGCGUUUGGGAACUGAGUGCUGCAGGUGAUUCCAUAAUUAUCGAAGGAUUCCUGUCUCUUUGGGACCCUUUUUCCAAUUUAUGUGGUGCCGGCACAUUAUAUGUCUUCUCUACUCGAUCCACAUCCCCGGUUGUGAUCCUUGAUCGUUCUUGUCUUGUUCCCAUCGUCAUUGUGUGGACUACUCUCAGUUGACUGUGUGUGUGCAUUCGCAGAUAGAUUCUCCCCACAGACCUUUUAGUCGAGGUAUAUCCACAUGGCUUUCCUUUAUUGGUUUGUUCUUAUGAAUUCCUUGUCGAAUAUAUAUGAGGAUAGCGAUAACUAUAAUCAAACUAGGUGCAAGAAAUUUGCUUCA